rnacentral:rRNA from 1 species
UACGGAGGGAGCUAGCGUUGUUCGGAAAUACUGGGCGUAAAGCGCACGUAGGCGGCUUUCUAAGUCAGGGGUGAAAUCCUGGAGCUCAACUCCAGAACUGCCUUUGAUACUGGAGAGCUUGAGUCCGGAAGAGGUGAGUGGAACUCCGAGUGUAGAGGUGAAAUUCGUAGAUAUUCGGAAGAACACCAGUGGCGAAGGCGGCUCACUGGUCCGGUACUGACGCUGAUGUGCGAAAGCGUGGGGAGCAAACAGG